rnacentral:tRNA from 3 species
GGCUCUGUAGCUCAGUCGGUAGAGCAAAGGACUGAAAAUCCUUGUGUCGCCAGUUCGAUUCUGGCUGGAGCCA